UACAGAGGGGGGCAAGCGUUUGUUCGGAAUUACUGGGCGUAAAGGGCGCGUAGGCGGCCCGCUAAGUCGAACGUGAAAUCCCCGAGCUCAACUCGGGAACUGCGUCCGAUACUGGUGGGCUUGAAUCCGGGAGAGGGAUGCGGAAUUCCAGGUGUAGCGGUGAAAUGCGUAGAUAUCUGGAGGAACACCGGUGGCGAAGGCGGCAUCCUGGACCGGCAUUGACGCUGAGGCGCGAAAGCUAGGGGAGCAAACGGGG
rnacentral:rRNA from 1 species